AAACCAUGCAUCAUACACUUUCUAAUUAAUUCAUUGAAACGCUCUCAUGCUUCGUAUAAUGUUUCAUCGUCAGAUUGUCUGAAUGAUGUAAUGUUAUUCCUCAACUU
rnacentral:snoRNA from 1 species